UUCACUGGUGAUCUUAGGAAUUUGCCAGCCAAACUGAGAUAUUUUUUUUCCAAUUUUAUCCAAGAAAAUUGAGCUAGGGCUUUACAAAACAUGUUAAAUAAAUUGUGAACUUUUGAAGACUGUACCUAGCCUACCUAGAACACUGAUAAUUUUGCCUACCAGCAAAAUUGGACAUAAUUUUCCAAAAGUUUUAGAUUUCAGCAUCCAUUUAAACUAGUGUAACAUAACCAGUGACUGAGGUGAACAUUGUAAGGGAAGUGAACUUACCCACCAUGGCAGAAGCCACGCAGCCUAUCCCGAGCUCCAAGGGACGCGUCCUAGAGUGCGGCAGCAAAUUGAAGGGCAAGAGGAUCGCCGUCUUGACCAGCGGUGGUGAC